rnacentral:lncRNA from 1 species
AGACACCUGUUGCAUGUGCUCAUGCGGAACAUAAUCACCUGUGCCAUUGAGUUAGUGUGUGUGUGAAUUAUGCAUGUGUGUGCAUGUGUGUGUGUGGAAUAUGUGUGAGUAAGUGGACAGUGUGUGUGCUGGUGCAGGGGGUUCAGACUGGCAUUCAGAUGAGCACAAUACAAGAUAUUUAAUGCUCAAUGAUGAAUUGAUUAGAGAAAAAGGGAGUGUGUUUAACAGUAGAGAGUGUAGUAGAUGAUAGUAGUAGAUGAUAGCGGUAGGUGAUAGUGGUAGGUGAUAGUAGUAGGUGAUAGUAGUAGGUGAUAGUAGUAGGUGAUAACAAUAUAUGAUAGUAGUAGGUGAUAGUAGUUUGUGAUAGUAAUAGAUGAAAGUAGUAGGUGAUAGUAGUUGAUGAUAGUAGUAGAUUCUAGUUGUAGUUGAAAAUAGUAAGUGAUAGUAGUAGAUGAUAGCAGUAGGUGAUAGUAGUUUGUGAUAGUAAUAGAUGAAAGUAGUAGGUGAUAGUAGCAGGUGAUAGUAGUAGGUGAUAGUUGUAGCUUUCAGUAGUAGGUGAUAGUAGUAGAUGAUAGUAGUAGAUGAUAGUAGUAGGUGAUAGUUGUAGUGAAAGUAGUAGGGGAUAGUAGUAGGUGAUAGUUGUAGGUGAUAGUUGUAGUGAAAGUAGUAGGGGAUAGUAGUAGGUGAUAGUAGUAGGUAAUAGUAAUAGAUGAUAGUUGUAGGUGAUAGUUGUAGUGAAAGUAGUAGGGGAUAGUAGUAGGUGAUAGUAGUAGGUAAUAGUAAUAGAUGAUAGUUGUAGGUGAAAAUAGUAGUUGAUAGUAGUAGGUGAUUAUAGUAUAUGAUAGUAGUAGGUGAUAGUAGUAG